CCUACGGGGGGCAGCAGUGGGGAAUAUUGCACAAUGGGCGCAAGCCUGAUGCAGCCAUGCCGCGUGUGUGAAGAAGGCCUUCGGGUUGUAAAGCACUUUCAGCGGGGAGGAAGGCGGUGAGGUUAAUAACCUCAUCGAUUGACGUUACCCGCAGAAGAGGCACCGGCUAACUCCGUGCCGGCAGCCGCGGUAAUACGGAGGGUGCAAGCGUUAAUCGGAAUUACUGGGCGUAAAGCGCACGCAGGCGGUCUGUCAAGUCGGACGUGAAAUCCCCGGGCUCAACCUGGGAACUGCAUUCGAAACUGGCAGGCUAGAGUCUUGUAGAGGGGGGUAGAAUUCCAGGUGUAGCGGUGAAAUGCGUAGAGAUCUGGAGGAAUACCGGUGGCGAAGGCGGCCCCCUGGCCAAAGACUGACGCUCAGGUGCGAAAGCGUGGGGAGCAAACAGGAUUAGAUACCCUAGUAGUC
rnacentral:rRNA from 1 species